rnacentral:rRNA from 1 species
GAAGGAUCAUUAACGAGUUCUGAAACGGGUUGUAGCUGGCCUUCCGGGGCAUGUGCACACCCUGCUCAUCCACUCUACACCUGUGCACUCACUGUAGGUUGGCGUGGGCUUCCUUCACGGGAAGCAUUCUGCCGGCCUAUGUACACAACAAACACUAUAAAGUAACAGAAUGUACUCGCGUCUAACGCAUCAUAAUACAACUUUCAGCAACGGAUCUCUUGGCUCUCGCAUCGAUGAAGAACGCAGCGAAAUGCGAUAAGUAAUGUGAAUUGCAGAAUUCAGUGAAUCAUCGAAUCUUUGAACGCACCUUGCGCUCCUUGGUAUUCCGAGGAGCAUGCCUGUUUGAGUGUCAUGGAAUUCUCAACCCAUACAUCCUUGUGGUUUAUGGGCUUGGAUUUGGAGGCUUUUGCCGGCUUUAAUGGUCGGCUCCUCUCGAAUGCAUUAGCUUGAUUCCGUGCGGAUCAGCUCUCAGUGUGAUAAUUGUCUACGCUGUGAGCCGUGAAGCGUUUGGCGAGCUUCUAACCGUCCCCUUGGGACAAUUUAUUGACAUCUGACCUCAAAUCAGGUAGGACUACCCGCUGAACUUAAGCAUA